GAUGAACGCUGGCGGCGUGCCUAAUACAUGCAAGUCGAGCGAACAGAUAAGGAGCUUGCUCCUUUGACGUUAGCGGCGGACGGGUGAGUAACACGUGGGUAACCUACCUAUAAGACUGGGAUAACUUCGGGAAACCGGAGCUAAUACCGGAUAAUAUUUCGAACCGCAUGGUUCGAUAGUGAAAGAUGGUUUUGCUAUCACUUAUAGAUGGACCCGCGCCGUAUUAGCUAGUUGGUAAGGUAACGGCUUACCAAGGCGACGAUACGUAGCCGACCUGAGAGGGUGAUCGGCCACACUGGAACUGAGACACGGCCCAGACUCCUACGGGAGGCAGCAGUAGGGAAUCUUCCGCAAUGGGCGAAAGCCUGACGGAGCAACGCCGCGUGAGUGAUGAAGGUCUUCGGAUCGUAAAACUCUGUUAUUAGGGAAGAACAUACGUGUAAGUAACUGUGCACGUCUUGACGGUACCUAAUCAGAAAGCCACGGCUAACUACGUG
rnacentral:rRNA from 1 species